GACGAACGCUGGCGGCGUGCUUAACACAUGCAAGUCGAACGGAAAGGCCCUGCUUUUGUGGGGUGCUCGAGUGGCGAACGGGUGAGUAACCCGUGAGUAACCUGCCCUUGACUUUGGGAUAACUUCAGGAAACUGGGGCUAAUACCGGAUAGGAGCUCCUGCUGCAUGGUGGGGGUUGGACAGUUUCGGCGGUUGGGGAUGGACUCGCGGGUUAUCAGCUUGUUGGUGGGGUAGUGGCUUACCAAGGCUUUGACGGGUAGCCGGCCUGAGAGGGUGACCGGCCACAUUGGGACUGAGAUACGGCCCAGACUCCUACGGGAGGCAGCAGUGGGGAAUAUUGCACAAUGGGCGGAAGCCUGAUGCAGCAACGCCGCGUGCGGGAUGACGGCCUUCGGGUUGUAAACCGCUUUCGCCUGUGACGAAGCGUGAGUGACGGUAAUGGGUAAAGAAGCACCGGCUAACUACGUG
rnacentral:rRNA from 1 species